rnacentral:rRNA from 1 species
UACAGAGGGGGCAAGCGUUGUUCGGAAUUACUGGGCGUAAAGGGCGCGUAGGCGGCCUUCUAAGUCGAACGUGAAAUCCCUGGGCUUAACCCAGGAACUGCGUCCGAUACUGGAAGGCUUGAAUCCGGGAGAGGGAUGCGGAAUUCCAGGUGUAGCGGUGAAAUGCGUAGAUAUCUGGAGGAACACCGGUGGCGAAGGCGGCAUCCUGGACCGGCAUUGACGCUGAGGCGCGAAAGCCAGGGGAGCAAAGCGGG